rnacentral:rRNA from 1 species
UACGUAGGGUGCAAGCGUUUGUCCGGAAUUAUUGGGCGUAAAGAGCUCGUAGGUGGCCUGUCGCGUCGGCUGUGAAAACUCGGGGCUCAACUCCGGGCCUGCAGUCGAUACGGGCAGACUGGAGUUCGGCAGGGGAGACUGGAAUUCCUGGUGUAGCGGUGAAAUGCGCAGAUAUCAGGAGGAACACCGGUGGCGAAGGCGGGUCUCUGGGCCGAUACUGACGCUGAGGAGCGAAAGCGUGGGGAGCGAACAGG